CGUUGUUGAUCGGUGCUGCUCUAAUUUUCUACUGGCUUCUUUACUCGGUCACUCAUCUUGUUGUGAAGAUCGAGCAGUUGAAUCAGCGCGUCGAGAGGCUCAAGAGCAAGGAGUAAGUGAUGAUGAUGAUGGAUAUACAUGGACUUUGUUUUCUAUUUUCAUGGAUUACUACUGUUAAAUGAGACUUUAAUUGGCGUUUUCAAUUCAGUUAUUUUUCUCGUGUAGGUAGUAACUAUGUUGGAUUUGGAUGUCAAGACUUAUUAAUAUGCAGCUUUUCCUUAAUCAUUUUGGGAGUUUUUUCCUGCGUGUCGAAUUCGUUCCAAUUUUGAUCAGAAUAUGGAUUGUGUUUUGUGAAAGUGUAAAUUGAUGAAAUUGUGAGAUCUGUAUUAGGCAGUUUUAUUAUCUGCUUCUUUCUUCUGAUUAAUGCGGAUGAAUCUGUAGUAUAUUAGGGUAGGAGAAGAGGACGCGCGUGGGUUUUCGAUUUUAGUCAUGCAAUUGCCAUGUCAAAACUCUGAUUGUGAACUUAAUGCAAGCUGUUGCUUGUUCUGACCAAUAGCUAUAUUAGUCUCUUCUGAUCCCUAUCUCAGACAACCAUCACCAUACAAAAAUAAUGGCCAGCCAGGAAAAUGAUGAUGAGAUCCAAAGAUUUUUACCUUUUCUACUCUGAACUCGUCACACUCACAGCGACUCCGUUCCUUCUCAAUGUUGGAAAUAUCGUUCGUUUGGCUCUGAGUCAACCUUUUCUUCAUAUGUGCUCUCUCGCAUGGUCAUCUUUGGCUUUGAAAUUCUUUUUAGUUUUGUCAUCGUUGCAACUUGUAUCGGCUUGAUGUUUCAUCACUUGCAAUGGUGAUGGGACAUGUGAAUUCUUAGUGGCUGGGGGCUGGAGGAGCAGAUCAGAAGAGGGAAUUGAUACCAGGGAGAGGUGGUGGUGGUGGUCUUCUUGGUGUAGAGGAG
rnacentral:lncRNA from 1 species